rnacentral:ncRNA from 2 species
CAAGUUCAUUUGCUCCGAGCUUUAUCAUCUAAGGCAAAGCUAUGAUGAUGGAGCCGAUAGGGUUUGUCUGGAAACCGGCAGGCCUCCCGUGUGGAAAGGAGUAGCGCAUUUUACCUG